rnacentral:rRNA from 3 species
GACUCGUCACACUAUCAUUAACUGAAUCCAUAGGUUAAUGAGGCGAACCGGGGGAACUGAAACAUCUAAGUACCCCGAGGAAAAGAAAUCAACCGAGAUUCCCCCAGUAGCGGCGAGCGAACGGGGAGGAGCCCAGAGCCUGAAUCAGCAUGUGUGUUAGUGGAAGCGUCUGGAAAGGCGCGCGAUACAGGGUGACAGCCCCGUACACAAAAGCGCAUGUGCUGUGAGCUCGAUGAGUAGGGCGGGACACGUGGUAUCCUGUCUGAAUAUGGGGGGACCAUCCUCCAAGGCUAAAUACUCCUGACUGACCGAUAGUGAACCAGUACCGUGAGGGAAAGGCGAAAAGAACCCCGGCGAGGGGAGUGAAAAAGAACCUGAAACCGUGUACGUACAAGCAGUGGGAGCACAGGUUUACCUGUGUGACUGCGUACCUUUUGUAUAAUGGGUCAGCGACUUAUAUUCUGUAGCAAGGUUAACCGAAUAGGGGAGCCGGAGGGAAACCGAGUCUUAAUUGGGCGUUAAGUUGCAGGGUAUAGACCCGAAACCCGGUGAUCUAGCCAUGGGCAGGUUGAAGGUUGGGUAACACUAACUGGAGGACCGAACCGACUAAUGUUGAAAAAUUAGCGGAUGACCUGUGGCUGGGGGUGAAAGGCCAAUCAAACCGGGAGAUAGCUGGUUCUCCCCGAAAGCUAUUUAGGUAGCGCCUCGUGAAUUCAUCUCCGGGGGUAGAGCACUGUUUCGGCUAGGGGGCCAUCCCGGCUUACCAACCCGAUGCAAACUGCGAAUACCGGAGAAUGUUAUCACGGGAGACACACGGCGGGUGCUAACGUCCGUCGUGAAGAGGGAAACAACCCAGACCGCCAGCUAAGGUCCCAAAGUCAUGGUUAAGUGGGAAACGAUGUGGGAAGGCCCAGACAGCCAGGAUGUUGGCUUAGAAGCAGCCAUCAUUUAAAGAAAGCGUAAUAGCUCACUGGUCGAGUCGGCCUGCGCGGAAGAUGUAACGGGGCUAAACCAU